CCCUUAGAUGUUCUGGGCUGCACGCGCGCUACACUGAAGCGUUCAACGAGUAUUCACCUUGCCCGGGAGGGUUGGGUAAUCUUUUGAAAACGCUUCGUGAUGGGGCUAGAUUAUUGCAACUAUUAAUCUUCAACGAGGAAUGCCUAGUAAGCGCGAAUCAUCAGUUCGCGUUGAUUACGUCCCUGCCCUUUGUACACACCGCCCGUCGCUCCUACCGAUUGAAUGGUCCGGUGAAAAUUUCGGACAGUGACGAUGCUGGCGGUCCGCCGCCGGCGCUGUCGCUGGAAGAUCUUUAAACCUUAUCAUUUAGAGGAAGGAGAAGUCGUAACA
rnacentral:rRNA from 1 species